UACAGAGGGUGCGAGCGUUAAUCGGAAUUACUGGGCGUAAAGCGUGCGCAGACGGUCACGUAAGUCGGGUGUGAAAGCCCCGGGCUCAACCUGGGAAUUGCAUUCGAGACUGCGUGGCUAGGGUGCGGAAGAGGGAAGCGGAAUUCCGGUGUAGCGGUGAAAUGCGUAGAUAUCGGAAGGAACACCAGUGGCGAAAGCGGCUUCCUGGUCCAGCACCGACGUUC
rnacentral:rRNA from 1 species